UAGGGAAUCUUCCGCAAUGGGCGAAAGCCUGACGGAGCAACGCCGCGUGAGUGAUGAAGGUCUUCGGAUCGUAAAACUCUGUUAUUAGGGAAGAACAAAUGUGUAAGUAACUAUGCACGUCUUGACGGUACCUAAUCAGAAAGCCACGGCUAACUACGUGCCAGCAGCCGCGGUAAUACGUAGGUGGCAAGCGUUAUCCGGAAUUAUUGGGCGUAAAGCGCGCGUAGGCGGUUUUUUAAGUCUGAUGUGAAAGCCCACGGCUCAACCGUGGAGGGUCAUUGGAAACUGGAAAACCUGAGUGCAGAAGAGGAAAGUGGAAUUCCAUGUGUAGCAGUGAAAUGCGCAGAGAUAUGGAGGAACACCAGUGGCGAAGGCGACUUUCUGGUCUGUAACUGACGCUGAUGUGCGAAAGCGUGGGGAUCAAACAGG
rnacentral:rRNA from 1 species